UACAGAGAGUGCAAGCGUUAAUCGGAAUUACUGGGCGUAAAGCGCGCGUAGGUGGAUAUUUAAGUCGGAUGUGAAAGCCCUGGGCUUAACCUAGGAACUGCACCCGUUACUGAAUGUCUAGAGUAUAGUAGAGGGAAGUGGAAUUUCCGGUGUAGCGGUGAAAUGCGUAGAUAUCGGAAAGAACACCAGUGGCGAAGGCGACUUCCUGGACUAAUACUGACACUGAGGCGCGAAAGCGUGGGGAGCAAACAGG
rnacentral:misc_RNA from 1 species